AGUGAACGCUGGCGGUAGGCCUAACACAUGCAAGUCGAACGGCAGCACAGUAAGAGCUUGCUCUUACGGGUGGCGAGUGGCGGACGGGUGAGGAAUUCAUCGGAAUCUACUUUUUCGUGGGGGAUAACGUAGGGAAACUUACGCUAAUACCGCAUACGACCUACGGGUGAAAGCAGGGGAUCUUCGGACCUUGCGCGAUUGAAUGAGCCGAUGUCGGAUUAGCUAGUUGGCGGGGUAAAGGCCCACCAAGGCGACGAUCCGCAGCUGGUCUGAGAGGAUGAUCAGCCACACUGGAACUGAGACACGGUCCAGACUCCUACGGGAGGCAGCAGUGGGGAAUAUUGGACAAUGGGCGCAAGCCUGAUCCAGCCAUACCGCGUGGGUGAAGAAGGCCUUCGGGUUGUAAAGCCCUUUUGUUGGGAAAGAAAAGCAGCAGGUUAAUACCCCGCUGUUCUGACGGUACCCAAAGAAUAAGCACCGGCUAACUUCGUG
rnacentral:rRNA from 1 species